rnacentral:rRNA from 1 species
UACGUAGGGGGCUAGCGUUGUCCGGAAUCAUUGGGCGUAAAGCGCGUGUAGGCGGUCCGGUAAGUCCGCUGUGAAAGUCGGGGGGCUCAACCCUCGGAUGCCGGUGGAUACUGUCGGGCUUGAGUACGGAAGAGGCGAGUGGAAUUCCUGGUGUAGCGGUGAAAUGCGCAGAUAUCAGGAGGAACACCAAUUGCGAAGGCAGCUCGCUGGGACGUUACUGACACUGAGGAGCGAAAGCGUGGGGAGCGAACAGG